rnacentral:rRNA from 1 species
AUACGGAGGAUGCGAGCGUUAUCCGGAUUUAUUGGGUUUAAAGGGAGCGUAGGUGGGAUAUUAAGUCAGCUGUGAAAGUUUGGGGCUCAACCUUAAAAUUGCAGUUGAUACUGGUUUCCUUGAGUACGGUAUAGGUGGGCGGAAUUCGUGGUGUAGCGGUGAAAUGCUUAGAUAUCACGAAGAACUCCGAUCGCGAAGGCAGCUCACCGGGCCGGAACUGACACUGAUGCUCGAAAGUGCGGGUAUCAAACAGGAUUAGAUACCCUGGUAGUCCGCACAGUAAACGAUGAAUACUCGCUGUUUGCGAUAUACAGUAAGCGGCCAAGCGAAAGCGUUAAGUAUUCCACCUGGGGAGUACGCCGGCAACGGUGAAACUCAAAGGAAUUGACGGGG